UCUUUAGCUGGGGAAACAUGAGAUGAAUUAUCUGUCAGUGCCACACAAAAGGAGCUAAGAAGAAUCCAGGAGGUUUUAGAGAUGCUGCUCCAUGGAUCUUUUACUUUACGGUGCCAUUUUUCACUUCAUGCAGUAAGCUGUUGUCCUAAUUAUUCUUUUACCAAGAAAGGUUCCUGCAUGUCACUCCACUCAGUUAUUUCCUCAAUCAACAAGUCUGACAGGCCCACACAGUCCACAGAAUGCUUGACAGGCUGCACAGCACCCUAAUUCAUUGUCAGCAUGGGACGGUGGCAUGACUGUGUAUUGUGCAUGCCCAGCCUUCACCAGCCACCACCACCCAGUGACGCUGAGGACAAGCGUUCUAGGAAAUCCGUCUGCUUAACAGUACCUCCUGCUGCCUGAGAUGUUUGCUGCCAUAGGAUUUAAAGGGGGACAUAAAGGGAGGGCAUUUUUAUCUAAAUCUGGCAGCUUUAAAUAGUUACCCAUAAAGUAGAGCUGUAUAUCUUAUAAUUUCCAAUUUGUAUUCUCUGAAGGAGGCUAUAAAAAAGACAACUUUUAUUACUCAGUCUUAAAAAUCAGACCUAUUAGUUAACAAGUCUUAAUAUUACUACUGAAUGAGAAACUUUUUUCUUGGAUCCGUAGCGGAAACAAUUUCAGAGAAAGAACAAGGCUCAUAGUCUCCUGAGCCACCCACAGUGUCUGAGGACUCGCGUCUUUCCGCCCCCCCAGGGGGCAGGGCAGAAGAGCCGGGGGAGAGGUGAACAUGAGAGAAAAAGGAUUCAGAGACGAUCCUACCGGCAACUACCAGCUCCAGGCUGAAUGAGUUCUGUCCCGCCCGGCUGGUGGCGGUGCACGUGUAGAUGCCAGCGUCGCGCGAUGUGACCGGUUCUAUGAUCAGGGAGUGCACCCCGUUCUCACGCACGAGCAUCUUGUGGGCGCUGUCGGGGCAGAUGGGCUUCCCGUCGAGCUGCCAGCUCAGCUCCGGCGUUGGUAACCCACUGACCUAAGCCAGAAAGGAAACACAUGUAAAUUUUUCUAGUAUUAAAACGAUGAAACAAUUAACAGCUAAGAAA